GUGUGUUGCUCUCAUUUUCGAAGCUUUGUUUUAAGCUCCCUCAUUAAUCUUUCAGUCUUUUCCCAUCUCUGCCUGACUAUAACUGCCCUGAAUUUAUCCAAGCCUGCAGAAUGCCAGGCUCACUGGAGUCUAAAUCACCAAGAGCUGAAUACACAUUCUACUCAUGGGACUCUACACUUCCAUCAGAAGGAACCAAUCACAGCUUAGGAGAGGAUUCAUUCAUCCAGAAGACUGAACAAAAAGUACAUUUUUGUCUGGAAUACGUAAGAGAUUAUUUUUUAACUUAAUUAAAAUGGCUUGUUAGAAUCACCUAUUCAGCAUAUGGAAAACCAGCUGGGUUAUCCUGUCAAACCUCUGCACAACAUACCUACUGAGACCCAACUUCACGAUUAGAAAGCAAGAGAGUAUAGUGAUGCAAACUGAACUCCGGAACAAGAGUUCAAACUACGGCACUAUCUCCUACCAGCCUCAGGUGACCAACCCUCAAUGUCCUCAUUUGUAAAGUGAAGACUGUGUUAGUAACUAUCUCAUGGAUUACUGGAAGAUUAAAUAAAAUUAUGCAUACAGAGUACCAGAUACAUUAUUGGCCAAGUGUCUCUGAUAUGAAGACAUCCAGAACAACAAUCCAAAUUAACCUUUUGAGAGCCUAAAAAUUAGGACUUAUUUAAGUCUCUUCUGAUUUCUGCCUUCCCCAACAUUUACUACCAUGUUCAUUACUGCAUGCUAAUCUCAACAUUUUUUCCAUAGCUUACAUCAUGACAGAUGUUUUGUCCAGAUUUCACAGUAAAUUUAAUGGGCAAGAAACAGUGCAAUUAUUUAUAAAGUUAUUGUUUGUAGAAGAAAUUACAUUUUCCAAGAAUAUAGCUAGUUAAGUUAUAUAUGUCUUUAUUCCUUCAAUAAGUAUUUCUUUAGUGCCUAUUAUGCACCAUAACAGGUGAAUCACAUACUUUUGCAAAAAGACAAGGCAAUACCUUAUGUGCUAAAUUCUCCCGUCUGCCUGCAUCACACAGUUGUUUGAAAGGAAUGUUACAAUUUUUAUGAGUCAAAUUAAUUAUAUACUAUCUAAAUAUAAAUAUGUACAUACACAUGCACACUACAUACAUAUUUAAAACCCAAUCUCUUUUGGGAAGACAAAAGACCUUUUAGUGGGCUAAAAAAGUCCCUUUGAAAGUUGUCAGUAUAUCUUAUGGAAUGUGCUAAGGAGAUGUGAGUGAGAGACAAGGAAAGAAAAUAGAGCGAUUCUGUUUUUCUGUAGCUGGAUGAGAUUAUGGUGUUUUAUUUGAUUCUGUUUUCUGUAUUAACUUUUAUAGGCAUCCUGUUUUUUACUUCUGUUAGUUAUUUUUAUAACUUUAAUAAACUUUCAAUAAAU